rnacentral:lncRNA from 1 species
GUAGUUUACAUUAAGGAAGACUCCUGAUGUUGUACACUCUAUGGAUUCUACAAAUGUAUAAUGAGACAAUCAAACUUCAGAUAAUCAUGCAACAAGGUUUCCAGCCAGUUCCAGGUGUAGACACCACUCCCAGCCAUCAAGAAACUACUGUCAAGGCAAGGGUUCUGUGAUCCUCAAUAGGGUAAAUGCUGGAGGGGCUCCAAUUUGGAAGUGUUACAUUAUCAAGUUAAAUCAUAAGAGCAAUUUAUAAAAGAGAUAGCUUGGAAUUAAACUACAAAAGCUGCUUAAGGUAAAAUAUGCGAGGGAACUCUCUUGUUGCCAUUGUGAGACCCUGGAGAACAGAUGGAACCAACUCUCAAGCUUCUGCUCGGGCAGAAAUAAAGAUGUUCUUUGAAACCAACGAGAACAAAGACACAACAUACCAGAAUCUCUGGGACACAUUCAAAGCAGUGUGUAGAGGGAAAUUUAUAGCACUAAAUGCCCACAAGAGAAAGCAGGAAAGAUCCAAAAUUGACACCCUAACAUCACAAUUAAAAGAACUAGAAAAGCAAGAGCAAACACAUUCAAAACCUAGCAGAAGGCAAGAAAUAACUAAAAUCAGAGCAGAACUGAAGGAAAUAGAGACACAAAAAACCCUUCAAAAAAUUAAUGAAUCCAGGAGCUGCUUUUUUGAAAGGAUCAACAAAAUUGAUAGACCGCUAGCAAGACUAAUAAAGAAGAAAAGAGAGAAGAAUCAAAUAGAUGCAAUAAAAAAUGAUAAAGGGGAUAUCACCACCGAUCCCACAGAAAUACAAACUACCAUCAGAGAAUAC